rnacentral:lncRNA from 1 species
CGCGGUAUGGUGCAGGGGUAUUUACGACAUUCUAUUAUUAUUAUAUAUACCGCUUGUAACACUGAAACCCUAAUUCAUUCUUUCAUCUAAUAGAAACGAGCUGUAGCGAAUUCUGCAGCCGGAGACGUACCUAAAGGGAACUCCGUUAUCAAACUUCUUGUGUUCUUAUUGUUUGCAAUUUCGUUAUUAUUACCUUCUGUUACUAUUUGUGCACAACA